UAGAGUUUGAUCCUGGCUCAGGACGAACGCUGGCGGCGUGCUUAACACAUGCAAGUCGAACGAUGAAGCUGGAGCUUGCUCUGGUGGAUUAGUGGCGAACGGGUGAGUAACACGUGAGUAACCUGCCCUGGACUCUGGGAUAAGCGUUGGAAACGACGUCUAAUACCGGAUAGGACCUCGGAUCGCAUGAUCUGGGGUGGAAAGUUUUUCGGUCUGGGAUGGACUCGCGGCCUAUCAGCUUGUUGGUGAGGUAAUGGCUCACCAAGGCGUCGACGGGUAGCCGGCCUGAGAGGGUGACCGGCCACACUGGGACUGAGACACGGCCCAGACUCCUACGGGAGGCAGCAGUGGGGAAUAUUGCACAAUGGGCGCAAGCCUGAUGCAGCAACGCCGCGUGCGGGAUGACGGCCUUCGGGUUGUAAACCGCUUUUAGUAAGGAAGAAGGGGCUUCGGCCUUGACGGUACUUGCAGAAAAAGGACCGGCUAACUACGUGCCAGCAGCCGCGGUAAUACGUAGGGUCCGAGCGUUGUCCGGAAUUAUUGGGCGUAAAGAGCUCGUAGGCGGUUUGUCGCGUCUGCUGUGAAAACUAGAGGCUCAACCUCUAGCCUGCAGUGGGUACGGGCAGACUUGAGUGCGGUAGGGGAGAAUGGAAUUCCUGGUGUAGCGGUGGAAUGCGCAGAUAUCAGGAGGAACACCGAUGGCGAAGGCAGUUCUCUGGGCCGUAACUGACGCUGAGGAGCGAAAGCGUGGGGAGCGAACAGGAUUAGAUACCCUGGUAGUCCACGCCGUAAACGUCGGGCGCUAGAUGUGGGGACCUUUCCUCGGUUUCCGUGUCGUAGCUAACGCAU
rnacentral:rRNA from 1 species